AAUGACAGAUGGCAACAGGGUCUCUUGCCUUUAGGGGGCUGUAGCCCUGCCCCGGAACAUGAAUCCGCAGAUUCUACAGCA
ensembl:snoRNA